GACUCGGUGGCGGAUGGUCCGCAUCUGCUUCAUGUACAUAUGAAUGAUCCUUCUAACAUUAGGCGGAGGGCGUUCGUUCGAUUCGGGCCCGAGUCA